UACGUAGGGUCCGAGCGUUGUCCGGAAUUAUUGGGCGUAAAGGGUGUGUAGGUGGCGCUGUAAGUCGGGUGUGAAAUCUCGGGGCUUAACUCCGAAACUGCAUUCGAUACUGCGGUGCUUGAGGACUGGAGAGGAGACUGGAAUUCAUGGUGUAGCAGUGAAAUGCGUAGAGAUCAUGAGGAAGACCAGUGGCGAAGGCGGGUCUCUGGACAGUUCCUGACGCUGAGGCACGAAGGCCAGGGGAGCAAACGGG
rnacentral:rRNA from 1 species